UACGGAGGUGGCAAGCGUUACUCGGAAUUAUUGGGUGUAAAGGGUAGGUAGGCGGUUUGUUAAGUGAGGGGUGAAAUCCUGCGGUUCAAUCGCAGAACUGCCUUUCAAACUGGCAAGCUUGAGGUUGGAAUAAGAAAACGGAAUUAGCAGUGUAAGGGUGAAAUCUGUAGAUAUUGCUAAGAACACCAGCGGUGAAGACGGUUUUCUGGUCCAAAUCUGACGCUGAGCUACGAAAGCUAGGGGAGCAAACAGA
rnacentral:rRNA from 1 species